UUCUAGCCCAGGCCCCAGCCCCAGGCCGGUUACCUUUGAGGCAGCAUUACACUGUGCUCCUGGGACACUCGACAGAUGUUUUUUGGAACUGGCACCAAACUCUUCGUGGAGCCCCAAGUUCAGUCUCCUGUCAAACCAUCCGUUUUCGUCAUGAAAAAUGGAACAAAUGUGGCUUGUCUGGUAAAGGAUUUCUAUCCCAGGACUGUAACUAUAAGCCUCAAAUCAUCCAAGAAGAUAGUAGAAUUUAAUCCUGCUAUAGUCGUCUCUCCCAGUGGGAAGUACAGUGCUGUCAAGCUUGGCCGGUAUGAAGAUUCAGAUUCAGUGACAUGUUCGGUUCAACAUGACAACCAAAUCGUGCACUCCACUGACUUUGAACUGAAAACGACUUCUUCAGUUCUAGAUACUCCAACACCAAAUAACCCAGCACCAGUGGAACCUGAAAACAAAAAGCAAACUGAAGAGACCUGCCAUGAACCCAAAGCUACAGUCCGUGCCGAGAAAGUGAACAUGAUGUCCCUCACGGUGCUGGGGCUGCGGAUGCUGUUUGUCAAGAGUGUUGCCAUCAACUUUCUCCUGACCACCAAGUUAUUUUUUUUGUAAGGUUGACUGGCAUGAGAAGGCUAUGCUUCCUGAAAGAACCCAAAUGCUUACAGAGAUACUAUCCCCUGGGCUUCUCUUGGUGACUCAAGUUAACCUGUCCAGCUGUGUUUAAAUGGCUGCUAACCAAACCAGUUUUCCUUUGAAACCAACAAACCCAAUUCAUCCUCGGGUAAAAAAGCAGAAGUCCCAAGAGUGGGAUUUAUGGUCCUAACUGCUCUAAAUGCUGCUUUGUAAAGGGAUGUGAGGAUGCAAAAGGAUAAGGACCCAUAUUUUUACUCCUACAACUGACACAUUUUGUAAAUUA